GGGGGUGUAGCUCAGUUGGGAGAGCGCCUGCUUUGCAAGCAGGAUGUCGAAGGUUCGAAUCCUUUCAUCUCCACCA
rnacentral:tRNA from 2 species